AGUGAACGCUGGCGGUAGGCCUAACACAUGCAAGUCGAACGGCAGCACAGUAAGAGCUUGCUCUUACGGGUGGCGAGUGGCGGACGAGUGAGGUAUACAUCGGAAUCUACCUUUUCGUGGGGGAUAACGUAGGGAAACUUACGCUAAUACCGCAUACGACCUACGGGUGAAAGCAGGGGAUCUUCGGACCUUGCGCGAUUGAAUGAGCCGAUGUCGGAUUAGCUAGUUGGCGGGGUAAAGGCCCACCAAGGCGACGAUCCGUAGCUGGUCUGAGAGGAUGAUCAGCCACACUGGAACUGAGGCACGGUCCAGACUCCUACGGGAGGCAGCAGUGGGGAAUAUUGGACAAUGGGCGCAAGCCUGAUCCAGCCAUACCGCGUGGGUGAAGAAGGCCUUCGGGUUGUAAAGCCCUUUUGUUGGGAAAGAAAAGCAGCAGGUUAAUACCCCGCUGUUCUGACGGUACCCAAAGAAUAAGCACCGGCUAACUUCGUG
rnacentral:rRNA from 1 species